AUGCACAUACCUGAGCCUUCAUCUCGGCAUUUCUCGUCAACACAACACCGUCAAAGAGGCGCCAGACACUUCCCGGGUUUAGGAAGGCGAAUCGGAAAUCCAAAAGCAAGGUCGAACGAAUCUGAGACGAUGAUAAGAAUCACAGAAGCGGAGAUGACGAUGGAUGAGCGGCAGGGUGUGGUGAUUGAAGGACGUUGUCGCGAUGAAGACGGAGGUCUCCGGAAUUGA